rnacentral:tRNA from 1 species
UGCUUGACUGUAAGGUAGCGGUAUCUUACAGUCCUUUUUCAAGUGGCUUCGAAGUUUGAGGCUUCUUGCGAAAGGGUUCGAUACCCUUUAAGCGC